rnacentral:rRNA from 1 species
CGGACGGGUGAGUAACGCGUGGAAAACCUGCCGUAUACUGGGGGAUAACACUUAGAAAUAGGUGCUAAUACCGCAUAAGCGCACAGCUUCGCAUGAAGCGGUGUGAAAAACUCUGGUGGUAUACGAUGGUUCCGCGUCUGAUUAGCUAGUUGGUGGGGUAAUGGCCUACCAAGGCAACGAUCAGUAGCCGGCCUGAGAGGGUGAACGGCCACAUUGGGACUGAGACGCGGCCCAAACUCCUACGGGAGGCAGCAG